GACGAACGCUGGCGGCGUGCUUAACACAUGCAAGUCGAACGGAAAGGCCCUGCUUUUGUGGGGUGCUCGAGUGGCGAACGGGUGAGUAACACGUGAGUAACCUGCCCUUGACUUUGGGAUAACUUCAGGAAACUGGGGCUAAUACCGGAUAGGAGCUCCUGCUGCAUGGUGGGGGUUGGAAAGUUUCGGCGGUUGGGGAUGGACUCGCGGCUUAUCAGCUUGUUGGUGGGGUAGUGGCUUACCAAGGCUUUGACGGGUAGCCGGCCUGAGAGGGUGACCGGCCACAAUGGGACUGAGGUACGGCCCAGACUCCUACGGGAGGCAGCAGGGGGGAAUAUUGCACAAUGGGCGGAAGCCUGAUGCAGCAACGCCGCGUGCGGGAUGACGGCCUUCGGGUUGUAAACCGCUUUCGCCUGUGACGAAGCGUGAGUGACGGUAAUGGGUAAAGAAGCACCGGCUAACUACGUG
rnacentral:rRNA from 1 species